rnacentral:lncRNA from 1 species
UUUGGUAUCAAAACACCAUGAUCUUUUUUAUAGAGUCUAUAUAUCAUGACCAAAAAAUCCUUAUAAUUAUGAUUUGGUAAAUUUGAACUGCAAGCAAUUUCAUGACUUUAGGGUCAUUCCACUUCACCAUGAAUUUCAUUGACUAUAAUCCUUAUAUAGUUUCAAUUUGUUUUUAUAAUCUUAAAUCUUGAGUCUAUUAUGUCAAACAUUUAAACAGGAGGAUGCUUUAGAAGAGUUUUCCCUUAUUUUUUAAAACAAGACUAUUUAAUUGGUUUAUAAUGUCUGAUCUUCUCUUGUGAUAUCGGUUGUGGUCUCUAGGGCUUCAAUUUUGUAUUGGGGCAUGACACAUCCAUUCAGUCCAUCAUCGAAGUGCUUCGAUCUCAAAGCCCCCACUCUCAAUC